CCAGACUCCUACGGGAGGCAGCAGUGAGGAAUAUUGGUCAAUGGUCGGGAGACUGAACCAGCCAAGCCGCGUGAGGGAUGAAGGUACAGAGUAUCGUAAACCUCUUUUGUCAGGGAACAAAGGCGGGGACGUGUCCCCGGAUGAGUGUACCUGAAGAAAAAGCAUCGGCUAACUCCGUGCCAGCAGCCGCGGUAAUACGGAGGAUGCGAGCGUUAUCCGGAUUUAUUGGGUUUAAAGGGUGCGCAGGCGGUCUUGUAAGUCCGCGGCCAACGCGCGGGGCCCACCCCCGGCCCGCCGUUGAAACUGGCAGUCUCGAGUUGGAGAGAAGUAUGCGGAAUGCGCGGUGUAGCGGUGAAAUGCAUAGAUAUCACGCAGAACUCCGAUUGCGAAGGCAGCAUACCGGCGCGCAACUGACGCUCAUGCACGAAAGCGUGGGUAUCGAACAGGAUUAGAUACCCCCGUAGG
rnacentral:rRNA from 1 species